AGUGAAGUGCCUGACAAAAGGAUUACUUUGAUAGAGUAAAACAUGCACUAAAUGCCUUCAUUA
rnacentral:tRNA from 1 species